UCCAUCCGUGAUGAGCCUUUGGAUCGUCUCCACGGCGGGGUUGUUGCGGAUCAGGCUGCUGUGAAUGUUCUUAUAUAAGUCUUCGUGUGGACAUGUUUCACUUCCCUCGGCUUUUUUUGAAUCAGAGUGGUUUUUGGAUCCGACGAAUUCAUCCCAACACAGAAGCACUAUAUGCACAGAGGGAAGAGUGCAAAGAAACGUAUUAAAAUCAGGUGUGCCACCCAGCCAUGGCUUGAGGGCAGGUGCCUGGGACACUCAGACCCAGAACCACUCAUCCAGCUGCUCCUGGAUUCCUGACUCUCAGAACCGACAUUAGACAAGCCGUCCUAGUGUUACCCGUUACUGGGUCCGCCUCUUGGUGGGUGUUGAAGCCAAAAGACACAAGCAAACCAAGGAAGAGGAGAAGAAGGAAGGGUUUCACUUUCAGCAAGGAAAUGAGGACCCUGGGGCCAUCUCCCAACAACGUGUCCCCUCAAGCCACCAACCUGGGAAGUUUUAAGCUAAGGAUGUGUAUAUAUUCAUGACGGGGCUUGU